rnacentral:rRNA from 1 species
GUGGGGAAUAUUGGACAAUGGGCGAAAGCCUGAUCCAGCCAUGCCGCGUGAGUGAUGAAGGCCCUAGGGUUGUAAAGCUCUUUCGCCGGUGAAGAUAAUGACGGUAACCGGAGAAGAAGCCCCGGCUAACUUCGUGCCAGCAGCCGCGGUAAUACGAAGGGGGCUAGCGUUGUUCGGAAUUACUGGGCGUAAAGCGCACGUAGGCGGACAUUUAAGUCAGGGGUGAAAUCCCGGGGCUCAACCCCGGAACUGCCUUUGAUACUGGGUGUCUUGAGUCCGAGAGAGGUGAGUGGAAUUCCGAGUGUAGAGGUGAAAUUCGUAGAUAUUCGGAGGAACACCAGUGGCGAAGGCGGCUCACUGGCUCGGUACUGACGCUGAGGUGCGAAAGCGUGGGGAGCAAACAGG